rnacentral:rRNA from 1 species
UACGUAGGGUGCAAGCGUUGUCCGGAUUCAUUGGGUUUAAAGGGAGCGUAGGCGGACUUGUAAGUCAGUGGUGAAAUCUUUGGGCUUAACCCAGAAACUGCCAUUGAUACUGCAGGUCUAGAGUACAGUUGCCGUUGGCGGAAUAUGACAUGUAGUGGUGAAAUACUUAGAUAUGUCAUAGAACACCGAUUGCGAAGGCAGCUAACGAAGCUGUAACUGACGCUGAGGCUCGAAAGUGCGGGGAUCAAACAGG